rnacentral:rRNA from 1 species
UACGUAGGGGGCAAGCGUUGUCCGGAAUCAUUGGGCGUAAAGAGCGUGUAGGCGGCCCGAUAAGUCCGCUGUGAAAGUCCAGGGCUCAACCCUGGGAUGCCGGUGGAUACUGUCGGGCUCGAGUCCGGAAGAGGAGUGUGGAAUUCCUGGUGUAGCGGUGAAAUGCGCAGAUAUCAGGAGGAACACCGGUGGCGAAGGCGGUUCUCUGGGCCUUACCUGACGCUGAGGAGCGAAAGCGUGGGGAGCGAACAGG